rnacentral:rRNA from 1 species
AUUGAACGCUGGCGGCAUGCUUUACACAUGCAAGUCGAACGGUAACAGGCCGCAAGGUGCUGACGAGUGGCGAACGGGUGAGUAAUGCAUCGGAACGUGCCCAGUCGUGGGGGAUAACGCAGCGAAAGCUGUGCUAAUACCGCAUACGAUCUAUGGAUGAAAGCGGGGGACCGUAAGGCCUCGCGCGAUUGGAGCGGCCGAUGUCAGAUUAGGUAGUUGGUGGGGUAAAGGCCUACCAAGCCGACGAUCUGUAGCUGGUCUGAGAGGACGACCAGCAACACUGGGACUGAGACACGGCCCAGACUCCUACGGGAGGCAGCAGUGGGGAAUUUUGGACAAUGGGCGCAAGCCUGAUCCAGCAAUGCCGCGCGCAGGAAGAAGGCCUUCGGGUUGUAAACUGCUUUUGUACGGAACGAAACGGUCUGGGUUAAUACCCUGGGCUAAUGACGGUACCGUAAGAAUAAGCACCGGCUAACUACGUGCCAGCAGCCGCAGUAAGAC